rnacentral:sRNA from 1 species
GCUGGGUGUGGUGGUGCACACCUGUCAUCCCAGCGGCUUGGGAGGCUAAGACAGGAGGAUUGUGAGUUCAAAGCCAGUCUCAGUAAAGAUGGGGUGCUAAGCAACUUAGUGAGACCCUAUCUCUA